GUACUCACUUUGGCAGCACAUACACUAAAACUGGAACAAUACAGAGAAGAUUAGCAUGGCCCCUGUGCAAAGAGAACACACAAUUUUUUGAAGCGUUCCAUAUUUUU
ensembl:snRNA U6 U6 spliceosomal RNA